rnacentral:rRNA from 1 species
AUUGAACGCUGGCGGCAGGCCUAACACAUGCAAGUCGAACGGUAACAGAAAGCAGCUUGCUGCUUUGCUGACGAGUGGCGGACGGGUGAGUCAUGUCUGGGAAACUGCCUGAUGGAGGGGGAUAACUACUGGAAACGGUAGCUAAUACCGCAUAACGUCGCAAGACCAAAGAGGUGGACCUUCGGGCCUCUUGCCAUCGGAUGUGCCCAGAUGGGGUUAGCUUGUUGGUGGGGUAACGGCUCACCAAGGCGACGAUCCCUAGCUGGUCUGAGAGGAUGACCAGCCACAUUGGAACUGAGACACGGACCAGACUCCUACGGGAGGCAGCAGUGGGGAAUAUUGCACAAUGGGCGCGAGCCUGAUGCAGCCAUGCCGCGUGUAUGAAGAAGGCCUUCGGGUUGUAAAGUACUUUCAGCGGGGAGGAAGGGAGUAAAGUUAAUACCUUUGCUCAUUGACGUUACCCGCAGAAGAAGCACCGGCUAACUCCGUG